UGUAAACAUCCCCGACUGGAAGCUGUAAGACACAGCUAAGCUUUCAGUCAGAUGUUUGCU
rnacentral:pre_miRNA from 10 species